GGUUAAGCGACUAAGCGUACACGGUGGAUGCCCUGGCAGUCAGAGGCGAUGAAGGACGUGCUAAUCUGCGAUAAGCGUCGGUAAGGUGAUAUGAACCGUUAUAACCGGCGAUUUCCGAAUGGGGAAACCCAGUGUGUUUCGACACACUAUCAUUAACUGAAUCCAUAGGUUAAUGAGGCGAACCGGGGGAACUGAAACAUCUAAGUACCCCGAGGAAAAGAAAUCAACCGAGAUUCCCCCAGUAGCGGCGAGCGAACGGGGAGCAGCCCAGAGCCUGAAUCAGUGUGUGUGUUAGUGGAAGCGUCUGGAAAGGCGCGCGAUACAGGGUGACAGCCCCGUACACAAAAAUGCACAUGCUGUGAGCUCGAUGAGUAGGGCGGGACACGUGGUAUCCUGUCUGAAUAUGGGGGGACCAUCCUCCAAGGCUAAAUACUCCUGACUGACCGAUAGUGAACCAGUACCGUGAGGGAAAGGCGAAAAGAACCCCGGCGAGGGGAGUGAAAAAGAACCUGAAACCGUGUACGUACAAGCAGUGGGAGCACGCUUAGGCGUGUGACUGCGUACCUUUUGUAUAAUGGGUCAGCGACUUAUAUUCUGUAGCAAGGUUAACCGAAUAGGGGAGCCGAAGGGAAACCGAGUCUUAACUGGGCGUUAAGUUGCAGGGUAUAGACCCGAAACCCGGUGAUCUAGCCAUGGGCAGGUUGAAGGUUGGGUAACACUAACUGGAGGACCGAACCGACUAAUGUUGAAAAAUUAGCGGAUGACUUGUGGCUGGGGGUGAAAGGCCAAUCAAACCGGGAGAUAGCUGGUUCUCCCCGAAAGCUAUUUAGGUAGCGCCUCGUGAAUUCAUCUCCGGGGUAGAGCACUGUUUCGGCAAGGGGGUCAUCCCGACUUACCAACCCGAUGCAAACUGCGAAUACCGGAGAAUGUUAUCACGGGAGACACACGGCGGGUGCUAACGUCCGUCGUGAAGAGGGAAACAACCCAGACCGCCAGCUAAGGUCCCAAAGUCAUGGUUAAGUGGGAAACGAUGUGGGAAGGCCCAGACAGCCAGGAUGUUGGCUUAGAAGCAGCCAUCAUUUAAAGAAAGCGUAAUAGCUCACUGGUCGAGUCGGCCUGCGCGGAAGAUGUAACGGGGCUAAACCAUGCACCGAAGCUGCGGCAGCGACACUAUGUGUUGUUGGGUAGGGGAGCGUUCUGUAAGCCUGUGAAGGUGUGCUGUGAGGCAUGCUGGAGGUAUCAGAAGUGCGAAUGCUGACAUAAGUAACGAUAAAGCGGGUGAAAAGCCCGCUCGCCGGAAGACCAAGGGUUCCUGUCCAACGUUAAUCGGGGCAGGGUGAGUCGACCCCUAAGGCGAGGCCGAAAGGCGUAGUCGAUGGGAAACAGGUUAAUAUUCCUGUACUUGGUGUUACUGCGAAGGGGGGACGGAGAAGGCUAUGUUGGCCGGGCGACGGUUGUCCCGGUUUAAGCGUGUAGGCUGGUUUUCCAGGCAAAUCCGGAAAAUCAAGGCUGAGGCGUGAUGACGAGGCACUACGGUGCUGAAGCAACAAAUGCCCUGCUUCCAGGAAAAGCCUCUAAGCAUCAGGUAACAUCAAAUCGUACCCCAAACCGACACAGGUGGUCAGGUAGAGAAUACCAAGGCGCUUGAGAGAACUCGGGUGAAGGAACUAGGCAAAAUGGUGCCGUAACUUCGGGAGAAGGCACGCUGAUAUGUAGGUGAGGUCCCUCGCGGAUGGAGCUGAAAUCAGUCGAAGAUACCAGCUGGCUGCAACUGUUUAUUAAAAACACAGCACUGUGCAAACACGAAAGUGGACGUAUACGGUGUGACGCCUGCCCGGUGCCGGAAGGUUAAUUGAUGGGGUUAGCCGCAAGGCGAAGCUCUUGAUCGAAGCCCCGGUAAACGGCGGCCGUAACUAUAACGGUCCUAAGGUAGCGAAAUUCCUUGUCGGGUAAGUUCCGACCUGCACGAAUGGCGUAAUGAUGGCCAGGCUGUCUCCACCCGAGACUCAGUGAAAUUGAACUCGCUGUGAAGAUGCAGUGUACCCGCGGCAAGACGGAAAGACCCCGUGAACCUUUACUAUAGCUUGACACUGAACAUUGAGCCUUGAUGUGUAGGAUAGGUGGGAGGCUUAGAAGUGUGGACGCCAGUCUGCAUGGAGCCGACCUUGAAAUACCACCCUUUAAUGUUUGAUGUUCUAACGUUGACCCGUAAUCCGGGUUGCGGACAGUGUCUGGUGGGUAGUUUGACUGGGGCGGUCUCCUCCUAAAGAGUAACGGAGGAGCACGAAGGUUGGCUAAUCCUGGUCGGACAUCAGGAGGUUAGUGCAAUGGCAUAAGCCAGCUUGACUGCGAGCGUGACGGCGCGAGCAGGUGCGAAAGCAGGUCAUAGUGAUCCGGUGGUUCUGAAUGGAAGGGCCAUCGCUCAACGGAUAAAAGGUACUCCGGGGAUAACAGGCUGAUACCGCCCAAGAGUUCAUAUCGACGGCGGUGUUUGGCACCUCGAUGUCGGCUCAUCACAUCCUGGGGCUGAAGUAGGUCCCAAGGGUAUGGCUGUUCGCCAUUUAAAGUGGUACGCGAGCUGGGUUUAGAACGUCGUGAGACAGUUCGGUCCCUAUCUGCCGUGGGCGCUGGAGAACUGAGGGGGGCUGCUCCUAGUACGAGAGGACCGGAGUGGACGCAUCACUGGUGUUCGGGUUGUCAUGCCAAUGGCACUGCCCGGUAGCUAAAUGCGGAAGAGAUAAGUGCUGAAAGCAUCUAAGCACGAAACUUGCCCCGAGAUGAGUUCUCCCUGACCCUUUAAGGGUCCUGAAGGAACGUUGAAGACGACGACGUUGAUAGGCCGGGUGUGUAAGCGCAGCGAUGCGUUGAGCUAACCGGUACUAAUGAACCGUGAGGCUUAACCUU
rnacentral:rRNA from 1 species